UACGUAGGUGGCAAGCGUUUGUCCGGAUUUAUUGGGUUUAAAGGGUGCGUAGGCGGCCCCGUAAGUCAGUGCUGAAAUAUCCCGGCUUAACCGGGAGGGUGGCAUUGAUACUGCAGGGCUUGAGUAAAGUUGAGGUAGGCGGAAUUGACGGUGUAGCGGUGAAAUGCUUAGAUAUCGUCAAGAACACCGAUAGUGUAGACAGCUUACUAGCUUAACUGACGCUGAGGCACGAAAGUGUGGGGAUCAAAACAGG
rnacentral:rRNA from 1 species